rnacentral:rRNA from 1 species
ACUCCUACGGGAGGCAGCAGUGGGGAAUUUUGGACAAUGGGCGCAAGCCUGAUCCAGCAAUGCCGCGUGAGUGAAGAAGGCCUUCGGGUUGUAAAGCUCUUUCAGUUGAGAAGAAAAGGUUGUGGUAAAUAAUCACAAUUGAUGACGGUAUCGACAGAAGAAGCACCGGCUAACUACGUGCCAGCAGCCGCGGUAAUACGUAGGGUGCAAGCGUUAAUCGGAAUUACUGGGCGUAAAGGGUGCGCAGGCGGCUUUGUAAGUCAGAUGUGAAAUCCCCGGGGCUUAACCUGGGAAUUGCGUUUGAAACUACAAAGCUAGAGUGUAGCAGAGGGGUGGAAUUCCAUGUGUAGCAGUGAAAUGCGUAGAGAUAUGGAAGACAUCGAUGGCGAAGGCAGCCCCCUGGGUUAACACUGACGCUCAUGCACGAAAGCGUGGGAGCAAACAGGAUUAGAUA